ACUCAUGCAACUUCGCUGUCAAAACACUAAUCCUAUCAUCAAUAUUUCUAUGAAUUCGAGCAUCCUACCCACGCUUCCGUUACGACCAACUAAUACAUUUAUUAUGAAAAAAUUUCUUACCACUAACACUAGCCCUAUGUAUAUGGUAUAUUGCUAUCCCAAUCUCCACAGCAAGCAUCCCUCCAAUAUUAUAGAAAUAUGUCUGACAAAAGAGCUACUUUGAUAGAGUAAAACAUAGAGGUUCAAGUCCUCUUAUUUCUAGAACUUUAGGACUCGAACCUAACCUGAGAAUUCAAAUUUCUCCGUGCUACCAAUUACACCAAAUCCUAGUAAGGUAAGCUAAUUAAGCUAUCGGGCCCAUACCCCGAAAACAUUGGUUCCAACCCUUCCCAUACUAAUUAAUACCAUUGCAUUUAUUCUAAUUAUAUUCACUAUGAUUCUAGGCACUGCCAUUGCAAUAACAAGCUCACACUGAAUACUCACAUGAGUGGGUCUAGAGAUCAACAUAUUAUCUAUAAUUCCCCUCAUAACAAUUAAUAAAAAUCCACGAUCAACCGAAGCUGCAUCAAAAUACUUUUUAACCCAAGCAACUGCAUCCCUAAUCCUAAUAUUCGCUAUCACAAACAACUUUCACCACUCGGGACAAUGAGAUAUUCAACAACCACCCAAUCCACUAACAUCCCUAACAGUCCUUAUCAAGAUCG